UUAAUCAUCUCAUCUAUGGUCACUCAUAGCUCACACAACAAAAAUCAAUCUAUCUUUUUUUAUAGGUCAAUCGAUCUGGUUACAAAGAUGGAUCUUUAGAUCCGAAAUAAUAUCCAAAAAAAUCAUCUCUCGCUCUUUCUCUCUCCUUCUGCUAGCUAUAUAAUGGCGUGACCGGAGCUUUGUGGUGGUGAUAGGGCGGUUGGAGGUGGUGAUAUUGGAUACCUUUGAUGAUUUCCUAUGUUUUUCUUCCUAUUUUUAUGUCUUCGAUCUCAAAAUAAUCAAAUUAAUGGAGACUUACUUUAUUGCCGGAAGUGAUGGUGGCAGCUAUGGACUUAUGGAGGCACCGUUACUAUAUAUAAAGAUUAAAUAAUCGAAACAGAUAGUAUUGCUCCCUUUCUUCUACAAACUCCCUAGAACGUUGAAUGAUGACGAUGAUGAAGUGAGUCCUCAAGAUUGUGUAUUCAUACGAGGUUGUGUACACAUUUUAUUCAAUGGAUUUAGUCAAAGGAGUAAAACUAUAUAUGUUGAUUAAUUUGUGAUAUGAUCUCCCAUUUUCAGUGGAUUUAUCAAUCAUAUGAAACCCCAUUUUGUCGUGAUUAAUAAAUUUUCCCAGAUCUGAGUAUUUA